UACGUAGGUGGCAAGCGUUGUCCGGAAUUAUUGGGCGUAAAGCGCGCGCAGGCGGCCUCUUAAGUCUGAUGUGAAAGCCCCCGGCUCAACCGGGGAGGGCCAUUGGAAACUGGGAGGCUUGAGUAUAGGAGAGAAGAGUGGAAUUCCACGUGUAGCGGUGAAAUGCGUAGAGAUGUGGAGGAACACCAGUGGCGAAGGCGACUCUUUGGCCUAUAACUGACGCUGAGGCGCGAAAGCGUGGGGAGCAAACAG
rnacentral:rRNA from 1 species